UACGGAGGGCGCGAGCGUUAAUCGGGAUUACUGGGCGUAAAGCGCGCGUAGGCUGUUGUGUAAGUUGGGGGUGAAAUCCCACGGCUCAACCGUGGAACAGCCCUUGAUACUGCGCGACUUGAAUCCGGGAGAGGGUGGCGGAAUUCCAGGUGUAGGAGUGAAAUCCGUAGAUAUCUGGAGGAACAUCAGUGGCGAAGGCGGCCACCUGGACCGGUAUUGACGCUGAGGCGCGAAAGCGUGGGGAGCAAACAGG
rnacentral:rRNA from 1 species